rnacentral:rRNA from 1 species
UACAGAGGGUGCAAGCGUUGUCCGGAAUCACUGGGCGUAAAGCGCACGUAGGCGGACUCUUAAGUCAGGGGGGAAAUCCUGGAGCUCAACUCCAGAACUGCCUUUGAUACUGGGAGUCUUGAGUUCGGGAGAGGUGAGUGGAACUGCGAGUGUAGAGGUGAAAUUCGUAGAUAUUCGCAAGAACACCAGUGGCGAAGGCGGCUCACUGGCCCGAUACUGACGCUGAGGUGCGAAAGCGUGGGGAGCAAACAGG